rnacentral:rRNA from 1 species
AACGAACGCUGGCGGCGCGCCUAAUACAUGCAAGUCGAGCGAGAAGACGUAGCAAUACGUUUGUAAAGCGGCGAACGGGUGAGGAAUACAUGGGUAACCUACCCUCGAGUGGGGAAUAACUAGCCGAAAGGUUAGCUAAUACCGCGUACGCUCCUUGGACUUCGGUUCAGGGAGGAAAGCGAUACCGUGGGUAUCGCGCUCUUGGAUGGGCUCAUGUCCUAUCAGCUUGUUGGUGAGGAACGGCUCACCAAGGCUUCGACGGGUAGCUGGUCUGAGAGGACGAUCAGCCACACUGGCACUGCGACACGGGCCAGACUCCUACGGGAGGCAGCAGUAAGGAAUAUUGCGCAAUGGGCGAAAGCCUGACGCAGCGACGCCGCGUGGGGGAUGAAGGUCUUCGGAUUGUAAACCCCUUUCGGGAGGGAAGAUGGAACGAGCAAUCGUUCGGACGGUACCUCCAGAAGCAGCCACGGCUAACUUCGU